GGGUCGAUAGCUCAGCGGUAGAGCGGAGGAUUGCAGAUCCUCAGGUCGCGCGUUCGAUCCGCGCUCGGCCCU
rfam:Plasmodiophora brassicae isolate e3 genome assembly, contig: scaffold_6